rnacentral:rRNA from 1 species
UGCAAGUCGACGAUGAUGCCCAGCUUGCUGGGCGGAUUAGUGGCGAACGGGUGAGUAAUACGUGAGUAACCUGCCCUUGACUCUGGGAUAAGCCUGGUCAACUGCUGGAAAUACUGGAUACUACCUCUUACCGCAUGGUGGGUGGUGGAAAGGGUUUUACUGGUUUUGGAUGGGCUCACGGCCUAUCAGCUUGUUGGUGGGGUAAUGGCUCACCAAGGCGACGACGGGUAGCCGGCCUGAGAGGGUGACCGGCCACACUGGGACUGAGACACGGCCCAGACUCCUACGGGAGGCAGCAGUGGGGAAUAUUGCACAAUGGGCGGAAGCCUGAUGCAGCGACGCCGCGUGAGGGAUGACGGCCUUCGGGUUGUAAACCUCUUUCAGUAGGGAAGAAGCGAGAGUGACGGUACCUGCAGAAGAAGCGCCGGCUAACUACGUGCCAGCAGCCGCGGUAAUACGUAGGGCGCAAGCGUUGUCCGGAAUUAUUGGGCGUAAAGAGCUCGUAGGCGGUUUGUCGCGUCUGCUGUGAAAGCCCGGGGCUCAACCCCGGGUCUGCAGUGGGUACGGGCAGACUAGAGUGCAGUAGGGGAGACUGGAAUUCCUGGUGUAGCGGUGAAAUGCGCAGAUAUCAGGAGGAACACCGAUGGCGAAGGCAGGUCUCUGGGCUGUUACUGACGCUGAGGAGCGAAAGCAUGGGGAGCGAACAGGAUUAGAUACCCUGGUAGUCCAUGCCGUAAACGUUGGGCACUAGGUGUGGGGGACAUUCCACGUUUUCCGCGCCGUAGCUAACGCAUUAAGUGCCCCGCCUGGGGAGUACGGCCGCAAGGCUAAAACUCAAAGGAAUUGACGGGGGCCCGCACAAGCGGCGGAGCAUGCGGAUUAAUUCGAUGCAACGCGAAGAACCUUACCAAGGCUUGACAUUCACCGGACCGCCCCAGAGAUGGGGUUUCCCUUCGGGGCUGGUGGACAGGUGGUGCAUGGUUGUCGUCAGCUCGUGUCGUGAGAUGUUGGGUUAAGUCCCGCAACGAGCGCAACCCUCGUUCUAUGUUGCCAGCACGUGAUGGUGGGGACUCAUAGGAGACUGCCGGGGUCAACUCGGAGGAAGGUGGGGAUGACGUCAAAUCAUCAUGCCCCUUAUGUCUUGGGCUUCACGCAUGCUACAAUGGCCGGUACAAAGGGUUGCGAUACUGUGAGGUGGAGCUAAUCCCAAAAAGCCGGUCUCAGUUCGGAUUGAGGUCUGCAACUCGACCUCAUGAAGUCGGAGUCGCUAGUAAUCGCAGAUCAGCAACGCUGCGGUGAAUACGUUCCCGGGCCUUGUACACACCGCCCGUCAAGUCACGAAAGUUGGUAACACCCGAAGCCGGUGGCCUAACCCCUUGUGGGAGGGAGCCGUCGAAGGUGGGACUGGCGAUUGGGACUAAGUCGUAACAAG